rnacentral:rRNA from 1 species
UACGUAGGGUGCGAGCGUUAAUCGGAAUUACUGGGCGUAAAGUGUGCGCAGGUGGCCGCGCAAGUCGAGUGUGAAAUCCCCGGGCUUAACUUGGGAAUUGCGCUCGAAACUACGUGGCUCGAGUAUGGCAGAGGAAGGUGGAAUUCCACGUGUAGCGGUGAAAUGACGUAGAGAUGUGGAGGAACACCGGAUGGCGAAGGCAGCCUUCUGGGGCCAAC